GUAGGGUGGCAAGCGUUGUCCGGAAUUAGUUGGGCGUAAAGCGCGCGCAGGCGGUCCUUUAAGUCUGAUGUGAAAGCCCACGGCUCAACCGUGGAGGGUCAUUGGAAACGUGGGGGACUUGAGUACAGAAGGGGAAAGCGGAAUUCCAAGUGUAGCGGUGAAAUGCGUAGAGAUUUGGAGGAACACCAGUGGCGAAGGCGGCUUUCUGGUCUGUAACUGACGCUGAGGCGCGAAAGCGUGGGGAGCAAACAGGAUUAGAUACCCUGGUAGUCCACGCCGUAAACGAUGAGUGCUAAGUGUUAGGGGGUUUCCGCCCCUUAGUGCUGCAGCUAACGCAUUAAGCACUCCGCCUGGGGAGUACGGCCGCAAGGCUG
rnacentral:rRNA from 1 species